rnacentral:rRNA from 1 species
UACGUAGGGUGCGAGCGUUGUCCGGAAUUACUGGGCGUAAAGAGCUCGUAGGUGGUUUGUCGACGUUGUCCGUGAAAACUCACAACUCAAUUGUGGGCGUGCGGGCGAUACGGGCAGACUGGAGUACUGCAGGGGAGACUGGAAUUCCUGGUGUAGCGGUGAAAAUGCGCAGAUAUCAGGAGGAACACCGGUGGCGAAGGCGGGUCUCUGGGCCGAUACUGACGCUGAGGAGCGAAAGCAUGGGUAGCGAACAGG